GGGUGAUAUCGUGCCUGCGUGUUUCUGUUUUCGCGCACUUUUGUGUGGUUGUCGAUGCUAACGUGAAGGACGAGUGGCGUCGUGCUUGAUCGAUCCAGCUUUUCUAUAAAAUUAACGUGUUUCUGAUGUUGUGCACAUUGAGUUCUUUUCAAAGCUGACGUGCCAGAUAAAUCCAGCUUUUCUAUAAAAUCACUGGUGAGUGACAUUACCAAACAUCGUAAAACAACGGCUCUUGAGGGAUUGCUACUUUUCCUGCUUGAGAAGUCAGCAAAUUUGCUCAAGAUAUGCCUGGAUACGAAUUCUGUGAACUGCUGCACCAAAGGUGUAAAGAUUGGAAUUCUGACUGUGGAGGAAGAUGAUGUUGCCGGUGUUACAUCGCAGCCCACUGUUAUCAACAUGGCCAUAAUCUUGGAGGAGGCCAUUGUGCUUGAGGACAUUAAAGAUCUUCCAUCUGCAUUUGCAUAUUUGUUUGGCCUCUUAUAUGCAUUUAACAUGGAAUAUCUGAAAGAAUUGAAGUACACUUUUGAAGUCAUCAUGGAUCUAGGUGGUACCUGCUCAGCUAGAGUG